ACGGGUGAGUAACGCGUGAGGAACCUGCCUCAAAGAGGGGGACAACAGUUGGAAACGACUGCUAAUACCGCAUAAGCCCACGACCCGGCAUCGGGUAGAGGGAAAAGGAGCAAUCCGCUUUGAGAUGGCCUCGCGUCCGAUUAGCUAGUUGGUGAGGUAAUGGCCCACCAAGGCGACGAUCGGUAGCCGGACUGAGAGGUUGAACGGCCACAUUGGGACUGAGACACGGCCCAGACUCCUACGGGAGGCAGCAGUGGGGAAUAUUGCACAAUGGGGGAAACCCUGAUGCAGCGACGCCGCGUGGAGGAAGAAGGUCUUCGGAUUGUAAACUCCUGUUGUUGAGGAAGAUAAUGACGGUACUCAACAAGGAAGUGACGGCUAACUACGUGCCAGCAGCCGCGGUAAAACGUAGGUCACAAGCGUUGUCCGGAAUUACUGGGUGUAAAGGGAGCGCAGGCGGGAAGACAAGUUGGAAGUGAAAUCCAUGGGCUCAACCCAUGAACUGCUUUCAAAACUGUUUUUCUUGAGUAGUGCAGAGGUAGGUGGAAUUCCCGGUGUAGCGGUGGAAUGCGUAGAUAUCGGGAGGAACACCAGUGGCGAAG
rnacentral:rRNA from 1 species